ACACGACUACAUUAGUAUACCCUCGUAGUCACCAGCCCUAAACGAUGCGCGUUAGUGGUAUCGGUGACCACGAGUCACCGAGGUGCCGAAGGGAAACCGUGAAACGUGCCGCCUGGGAAGUACGGUCGCAAGGCUGAAACUUAAAGGAAUUGGCGGGGAGCACCACAACGGGUGGAGCCUGCGGCUUAAUUGGACUCAACGCCGGGAAGCUUACCGGAUAAGACAGCGGAAUGAUUGCCGGGCUGAAGACUCUGCAUGACCAGCUG
rnacentral:rRNA from 1 species